AUCCGACUGACGAGUCCUAAAUAGGACGGAACGCGCAUCCUAGAU
rnacentral:hammerhead_ribozyme from 1 species